UCUCAAAGAAAUUGUAAGCAGUUUUUAUCUACUUCCUUGAUACACACAAAUGUUAUAUGGUUAUCUAAUUCAUGUACAUGGUAUAAAUAACUUGUCUCCUUUAAGUUUUACAUAGAUACGGAAGACAAAAAUAAGAUUUCACUAAAUCUCCUAGCUUCCUAAUAAUCAGAAUGGAAAGGAAUAGGGAAUGAAGAGGGCAGUAUAAUUUUUUUACCACAAAAAAAAAAAAAUCUAAUUUCAUGAAUCAAAAUAAAAUAAAAUCCUUAAAAUCAAACUUGUCAGAUGCACUACACAUUGAAAACAAUCAGAUUAAGAGGUAGAGAAGGCAGACUUUUUGGAUUGAGAUUUUCAUUAGUGCUCAAAGUGUUGAAAGUGAUGAUGAAACAGUCAACACCGAGAAGAAGUUCCAGCGAGAAGAUAAAACAACUCCUUUUAAGCCAUGGAUGGAAAUUUGAAUGAUAAUGCAUUUUUGCGGGCUCGGAUCAAAGAAUUGGAGCGUGGUCUCAGUCAUACAUUUGCAGAGCCCAACCUAAGGAUGCAUCAACUCUUUUUUUGUUUCUAUGUAAAUUAUAUGUACACUACUGUUUUGCAAAACAUGGCUCCUUAAUGUUCACACACACACACAUAUAUAUAUGUAUGUAUAUAUAUAAAAUGUGCGCUACAAGCUUGUUCUCCUGAGCUCAUUCAUAUUAAUUAAAACAUUCUA